rnacentral:tmRNA from 1 species
GGGGGUGCACCGGUUUCGACUGGCGUGGUUCGGGGUAUGGGCUGCAGGUGGAGCGCCGAUCUCCUGAUUCGGCAAAAAUUUAACUGCCAACAACGACAGUUACGCUCUCGCCGCGUAAGCGGUAGAACGCGGAAACCCUUCCCGCCGCCUUGAGGGAGGGAGUUUCCGUCGCAAUCAAGGCUGGCCGUUCAUCCGCGUCCGGAGUUUGGACGGCGAGAUUUUCCGGAAUACGGACAAGCCGCGCGCUGCUUAGCCAAGCCUGUCCCGACAAUACAAUAAGCGGCUAAACCUGUAGACGCUCCUAUUUCGCACGUCAGGACGCGGGUUCGAUUCCCGCCACCUCCAGUA